UGUUUGUAAAACCAAUGACAUCUUGCAGAUGCUUCCCAAGCAGCCCUGGUGUUUUUUUUAAAGCAGGUAUCGGAUAGAAACACAACUGUAACCGUAAACAUCUGCAUUAUCUCAUAGUUAAGCUCUGUCACUAUCUUAUAUACACACGAGAUAGUUGUGUACACACAGGGAAGCGCAAAGGUGACAGAACUGCAAGUGAAUCAUCCACAGGGAAUGCUGUCCUUCCUUCUCAUUAAGGCUUGUGCCAGGAAUGUUAAUGGUUCAUCUCUUCAAUGGCUGAAAGAAACUGAAAAGAUAAAGUUCAAAGGCAGAAUCUCACAUGCCUACAUGGACUAUUAUAUCAGAACAAGAAGAUCAGGGGGCAAUCUCCCAGGAUGCACUUCAGCCACUGGUUGUGCCAGCCUCACAGUGCCUUGGUGAUGUAACUCACGUUGGCAUUGGCUGCAUGUUGGCUCUGUACCCCAAAAUGACAAUGCACUGUACGCCUCUUUUGGCUCCAAUCACAAGAGCUCUCCUUUCUGUCCCAAAACGACAAAAACAAAGAGGUUGCUGUCAGUUUGAGUUGAGACAAGAGAUCAUCUUACAGAGCAGUCAAUGCUGCCUCUUUAACUCAUACAUACUGUAUCAUUUAACAGUAAAGCAUCAGUACACACAGCUCACAACCAAAACAGGCUUUUGCUUUCUUAUCUGUAUUGAUUUACCUCUUCCAACAAGCAGCAAAUGAAAUGUAGCUCUAGUCUAACAUUACAGCUAAUAGUAGAUCAAUUCCAUUUAAAACAAGGACAUAACCUAAUGAAUAGUAAUCGAUUCCAACAAAAAUUCAGAUUGUGGCACAAGAUUGAAAAUAUAUGAAAGGAAAACAGAAAAAUGCUUUUCUAUCUAGGAAGCCCUAAUAUGAAAACAUUCUUUUAUUUAUUUUCCUUUUUGCAUUUCAUUUUAAACAACAUAUUAAUAAUGUAAAAAGGGUUUUACUCUAAUAAAUGUCUUU